CUCUGAAGGAAUUUGCGGUCCCCAAACCAGCGGUAGCAGCAGCAUCUGGCACUUAGUAGGUACCCCUUAAAUAUUUCUUCUUGGGGCCACAAGAUUGGGAGCCGGAUUUAUAUUUCACUGAUUUUUUUCUUACCAUGUGUAUUUCCUUUUGAAAAAAGGUUCAUAAAAUCAGUAUGAAUCAAUAUCAAUAAAUAUCAGUCCCCUUUUAUCCUUCCCAAAAUUGCUGAAUGAGAGCUGGAAGUGACCAUAGGGGUGACGCAGCUUGCCGGAGUUACCCCAGACAGCUCUGUGACUCUGGCUGCUGCUUUAUUUUUUUUAUUCGAGGGGAAAUUCAUAACCUAACAUUGGCCAUUUAAGGUAAACAAUUCUUUGUCAUUUGUUACAUUCACAGUGAUAUGCAACUAGGUUUUUAAACAUUACAGUUCCAAAACAUUUUCAUCAUCCCAAAAGGAAACCCCACACCCAUUAAGUAGUCACUCCCCAACCUCCAGCCUCUGUAACCACCAGUCUACUCUCCAUCUCUAUGGACUUGUCUAUUCUGGACUUUUCAUAUACACGGAAUCCUGCACUAUGUGGCCUUCUGUGUCUGGCUUCUUUCUCUCAGCCUCAUAUCUUUGCGGUUCGUCCAUGUUGCAUCAUGUGUCAGUGCUUCCACCUCUUUUCAUGGUUGAAUAUAUUCCAUUAUGUGAAUAGACCACAUUCUGUUUAUCCCUUUAUCUGGUGAUGGACAUUUGGAUUGUUUUCCACCCUUUGGCUACUACCAGUAGUACUGCUAUGAACAUUCGUAUAAAAGGUUUUGCUGGAGUCUCUCUGUUCAGUCAUUUGGGGUAUGUGAUCCUGGCCUCUUGAUUCCCUCAUUGCAUUGCCUGCCAGACGUAACUAGGGUACACUGUGUCCUAA